CAGAGCUGGAAGCGGAGAGAAGUGGCGCUGGAGCGGAGAGCGGCGGGCGCGGCAAUGCGCGGGGCGGCGGCCGGGGCUGGCCGCUGAGGCUGCCGGCAGCAGCGCGCCCAGCCGGGAGCAUGCUGAGCCCCAAGAUCAGGCAGGCCAGGAGAGCCCGAUCAAAGAGUUUGGUGAUGGGUGAACAGAUUGGGCCUCCCUCCAGACCUUCUUCUCCAAACUGUCAAGAUCGUGUGCUGAAGUGUGGCUGGUUGAAGAAACAAAGGAGCAUUAUGAAAAACUGGCAGCAGCGGUGGUUUGUGCUGCGUGGGGACCAGCUCUUCUAUUAUAAGGAUGAAGAGGAAACUAAACCUCAGGGUCUGAUACUACUGCAAGGCAAUCAGGUGAAUGAGCUGCCACCUAAUCCUGAUGAACCAGGGAAACACCUCUUUGAAAUUGCCCCAGGUGGUGCAGGGGACCGGGACAAGAUGCCUGUCAAUCACGAGGCUUUCCUGCUCAUGGCUAAUUCCCAGAAUGAAAUGGAAGAUUGGGUGAAAGCCAUCCGACGGGUUAUAUGGGCUCCAUUUGGUGGAGGUAUUGCAAAUAGCUCACACGCACAUAAAUUAAAACAUUUGCCUCAAGGGAUCUUUGGACAGCGAUUGGAGGACACCGUACAGUAUGAGAGAAAGUAUGGGCAACGCUUGGCCCCACUGCUGGUGGAACAAUGUGUGGAUUUUAUUCGGGAACGAGGUCUUACAGAGGAAGGGCUCUUUCGGCUCCCUGGCCAAGCCAACCUUGUCAAAGAUCUGCAGGAUUCUUUUGACUGUGGAGAGAAGCCCCUUUUUGACAGCAACACAGAUGUUCACACUGUGGCGUCCCUCCUGAAGCUUUACCUUCGAGAGCUGCCAGAGCCUGUCAUCCCCUUUGCCAAAUAUGAAGACUUUCUUUCUUGCGGACAGCUACUCUCAAAAGAUGAGGGAGAGGGUACCCAGGAACUGGUUAAACAGGUGAAGAAUUUGCCCCAAGCCAACUACAACCUCCUCAAAUACAUAUGCAAGUUCCUUGAUGAAGUUCAGGCUCACUCCAGCAUUAACAAGAUGAGUGUCCAGAACCUGGCUACAGUAUUUGGACCAAAUAUAUUACGGCCCAAAAUGGAAGAUCCAGUGACUAUGAUGGAAGGUACCUCACUAGUUCAGCACCUGAUGACCGUGUUGAUAAGCGAACAGGGGCGAAUCUUUGCUGUUCCUCAGGCAGAUGUGCCUGGGAGCCAGCUAGAAAUCAGGCCUGUGCGCCAGCGCAGCACUGUGGAGUGGAUCUCCGAGGAGGAUGGGGAGGACGGCAGGUCGGAGAACAGCAUUCCCAGCCCCGCCCAUUUGCCUUCCAGCAACGCUGUGUCACUAGAAGCCACUCCUGGACCUGUGGUGAAAAACGCUCCCUCAGAGCACAGUGGCAAAUUGACUCAGCCUGCCACCGGCCCCAACAAGAGAGGGCAGACGCUGCCUCCGUGGAAAUACUCCUUCCGCCAGCAGGGAGCACGGUCUGUGAGUCCAAAGCUGGGCAGCUCAUCCUUAGAUAUCCCCAACCUCUCCUCCAGCGGGAACUGGUUGAUGAAUGGAUUGUACUCUCUCCGGGGCCAUCGCCGGACAGCCUCUGGGGAACGAGUUAAAGACUCGUGUUCUUCCCAGAGACUCUCUACUUACGACAACGUCCCUUCGUCCAGCCUCUCCCUUAGCACACACAGUAUGGCCAGCACCACAUGGUCCACAUCAUCAUGUGAAAUCUCUGUGCUGGACUCGGUCAGCAGCUGCCCAGCCUGCCGGGCCAGUGACUCUUCUGCUUUAAGCUCUCUCAAAACCGAGUGGAUGACUCAGGGCUCGCUGUCUCAGGGUGAGGUCAAGACUGCAGACCUGGAGAACAGCACUGACAGGUUUGAAGCCUGCAGCAGCAGCAGUGAACAGAGCAUCCUGGCUGCAGCUUCCAGAGACUCUGUCAAAUGCUCUAGGGCCCUACAGAGCUUGGUGGUGGAGCUAAAGACAGAACUGAGCAAACAGAGGACUGAGUAUGAAACUAGUAUCAAAAGAAUUGAAGAAACAAGUGCAGACCUGAGGAAACAAGUGGUUAGGUUAGAAGAAGAACUGGACCAAGAACGAAAGAAAUACACAAUGCUGGAGAUAAAGCUGAGGAAUUCUGAACGUGCUCGUGAAGAUGCUGAGAAGAGAAAUCACCUCCUGCAGAAGGAAAUGGAAGAAUUUUUUUCAACGUUAGGAUGUUUAACUGUUGGGAGUCAGACUGCUAAAGUCCCCAAGUAAAACAAGCUAAUGGUACAGUAUGGAAAAUUCUAAUUCUGACAAAACCAGUGAAAAUGCACAUUUUGUUCUUGUAUACUCAUGUAUCAUGAGUAAUUCUACAGUGACACUUGCUCUGUUGUCUUUACAUGUGCUGUAGUAUUUGGGCCAGCUGGGAAAGACUGCUAAACAUAAUGCUUCAAAGUUUAGAUGUCAGAUUACCAAGAAACAAUGGGCACCCUUUUUAUCCACAAAUCAAAAGAUACCAUUAUCCAUAGCUGUACCGCUGCCACCUUUGGACUUACUGCACCAUCUUUCACCGGCACAAGGACAGUGGAAGUCCUGCAAGAGAAGAACUCGCUGUUUGGAAAUAACCUUAGAAUGGGUUUUUCAAUGUACCAGCAGAUAGUACACCUUUCGGUAUUGACCUUCUCCUCAUCACCUCACAGACGUCCAGCCCUCACCUCUCAGAUGCUUUACAACGCAUUCUCUCUUGUACGGAUCAAGUGCAGACCACUCCCUUCAGUUCUAGCACACCUACAAGCUGAAGAACUGAGCCAUGCUGACUGGGAGCCUUAAAAACAUAGAUGCAAGACAAGCACUAAACAGGACAACUGGCUAACUCUCAAUGAAAUCAAAUGCAGCUGGAAUUCUACAGUAAGUAUUUAAACUUAGGUUACUGCUACAUAUAGCAGAACUACGGAACAAACCCACCUACCCCAAGUCUUCAGCUGCUGGACAGGAUCAUCUGUCAGCUAUGUAGCACUACAUAAUCUUAAUCUGCCAUCCAGGAUAAAAUUAUUUCUUCCUUUUUCAGUAUCACAAAUUAGUGAUCCUUCAUUCAAUCCAACUAAUAGAAUUCAAACCAACUAAUAGAAUUAACCAUUUCCUGGUUGACUGUUGUGCUCCAGCAACACUAUUCCUCUCGUUCAUGAGGAAUACAUUUCAGGUCCUUUUGAACAUGAUCCACUGCAGUAAACAAAGCCUGCAAGAAGCUGCAAACUACCCAGUUCAUGCUAAAAUGCACCACGGUAGGAUAUUAAUUCUAAAGCUUAGCAAUGAGAGAAUAAUGUUCAUUUUCCAUCAUGUACAAUUACACAAUAAAUUGUAACACGCUUGUGCUGUCCUACACCACCUCAGGGAACACUAUGCCCUUAUCUGAGGAAGACAAGACACGUUCCUAACUUCAACUCCUGUUUCUGUACUCUGUUUCCCACUGCUUCCUUUGCCAACUUCACAGAUCUCAGAGAACACUCCUUAUUUUGCAGACUUUUUAUUCAUUACAGCCCCCGGUUUAUAGUGCCAGUUUUCUUAGCAAGCAUUUACAAGAUACAGGUUCGUUAGUAUUAAGACAUGACAAAGGCUCCUGGAAGCAGGUAGAUACAUUUUUACCAUAGCCUUACCUGUGCAAUCCUCCCAGCCUGGACCAUUCCCUUCCAGUAUUAUGCAGGCAAAAAAGUGUAAAAAAAAAAAUUCGGUGAAUGAAACCCAACACAAGCAUAUGCUUCAAAAUAAUAUCUGAAGCCAAACAGCAGCAUUACAGCAUAACAAAAAACUGCUGUAAGUCUCCAUGGCAUUUCUAACAUGAAAAGGAAAAUUAGUAAUGAUUGAUAGCUUAUUGAAUUAUCCUCAUUUGCUAGCAGUUUCCAUGCAAGCCAGCAGCACUAUGGAAUACUUCAGUUCUGGGCCUAAGUUGCCCACAGACAAAGCCCUGGUAGAGCUAAGACGGCCUCAGGGCUUGCUCUAGUAUCAAUACAUUACUUGGAAUCAGCUGCACUUCAUGCUAACAUAUGCAAAUAAAAAAAGAGCAUUUCCGAGCCUCACCUCAUUCCUAGAAGAGCACCCCACAAAGAGCUGGUCCAGAGAAACAAAGCAGGCUGCACGGUACUGGCCACGGUCACGCUACCUUUCCCUUAAAACCGUACACAAAUACAACGUAGCAGCACGCAGACAAACACAACUCAAGGGCAUCCUGAGUGUUUGUUUAAAGAAAUGCUGAGACCCUGCUGGAAAUGAAGGCAGUGAAAUGCAUUACAUUAAGAUUCAGCCCCAGGGCAGAGGCGCCAGUGCAGCAAGUGCUCCCGGCACCUAAGUUACCAAUCCAGGAAGAGCUCUCCGGCA